rnacentral:lncRNA from 1 species
UCCCAGGCUAGGGGUCAAUCAGAGCUGUAGCCGCCAGCCACAGCCACGUGGGAUCUGAGAUGCGUAUGCGACUCACACCACAGCUCGUGGCAAUGCCGGAUCGUUAACCCACCGAGCAAGGCCAGGGAUCAAACCCGCAACCUCAUGGUUCCCAGUCAGAUUCAUUAACCACUGUGCCAUGAUGGGAACUCCUGGCCUCNACAAGCUGCAGGAGCCUGGCUGCUGGGGCUCUCACUGGGGCUUAAGGAGCAGAAAGGCCACAAUGACUUGCUCUCCGCCUCAGUCGUUUAGCUCUGUUCCCCCAGGUUCAGGGCAAAAGGCCCACCCAGAAAUAGAGACGGAGGCUCUACCCAGGAACUAUAACAGUGGACUCAAGUAUGAAAAGACAGAGAACUACAGCUCCAAUACUGACAAGAUCUGUCCAUGACUCCAAGAGUUAGAAAUGAUUUAAAAACAGGCAUGCUUCAGAACAAAACAUGAGAAAAGAUGAACAGAUGUCAAUGAAAUGUCACUUUCUUCUACUGUGUUGCUAAAAAAAAAAAAAGAAAAGAAAAGAAAAGCUUCAAUGUCCUUAAAGCAUACAUCUCAGUGGAUUAACUGGACACUGGAAGUGCCACAAUGGAAUGAGAACAGUAAGAGUUAAAAACUGACUCUGAAUAGGCCCUUUUAUGAAGUCACAAAAUUAAUAAUGUACAUCUUUUUCCCCAUCUAUACUGAAAAGGAAGAUCAAAUAAGCAGAAACAAAAGGUAGGAAGUUAGGAAUCACAAGUGUUCAGAUAUUGUAACCCAAACAAUUGUUCUAGUAUUGCCUAUUUUACCGAGGGUUAUGAUAAGUGGCUGGAAAAAAUAAGGACUCCAAAUCUUAGUUCCUUUAAGAUUAAAACACAUAGCAUUUAAAACACAGAGAAGUACCAUUUUAGGCACUUGUUAGGGAAAUAGCACACAAAAGGAUGUCUUGAUUUUGUUAGAUGCUUCCUUUAAGUAAUAGGUUUUACAGUAGGAGCAAGUAGGCAGGGGCCUGGGAGAUGGUGAUGAGGCACCCCUUGUGUAACUGCCAUAUUGUUACCUUUCGUAAAGAAUUCCAGCUCAGAAAGUAGACAGAUUUGAGCACAAAUCCUAAUUCUAUCAAUCAUUCGUUGAGUAACUAUGCAACUCAAUUAACCUUACUUCAAUUUUCCCAUCAGUAAUAUAGAGAUAAAUAUAACCUCUACCUUAUAGGGAUGUUUUGGGGAUCAAGAGAUAAUAAGAUGCUUAGCACAGUACCUGGCAUAUAGAUGUGCAGGAAAUGUUAGCCCUUAUCAUUAUCAUCUUUCUUUUCAAUCAUUCAUCUGUCCACAAAACUAUUACUGAUGAGGGAAUAUUUCAGGUCAAGCUUUGGGUUAGGUAAAGGAAGUCCAGGAAGAACAAGACAUAGUCCCUGAACACAGGAAGUUCUCAGCCCAGCAUGGGGAGAUGAACAAAAGAAGGCAAUACAGCCUAAGGAAUAUUAUGAUUGAAGUCAGCAUCAGGCAACUGAAGCAUAAAGAUGAGGAUGAGGAAGGAGCUUCAUGGAGGAGUUGAUGCUUAAUGCAGUGUUUAAAGCAGGUGUACAUAUAACGCCUUGGGGACAAAAGUAACAGAAGAGUAAUGACACUGGUAGGGAAGGGCAAGAAGAAUGGUGUGAAGAGGUCCCGGGGAAUGAAAAAUCAGGCUGAGAGGUAAGGUCAGAGAGGGCCAGGAGGCUCAUCACCAUCACAUAGAGCUGAGUAUACAGAAAAGUUUGUGUAAUUUGGUGUGCUUGACAACUCUUCUUUAAUUAGAAGUUGAGAGACAGUCAGCAUGGCCCUGCCAGGGGAGUAUCUCAAGAGUGCUCCAUAUCAUUAUGGUGAAAAGAUAAUGUACUACCUUUGCAAACCUUAGAAUUUACCUGCUGAAAGAGUACCUUGCCUGAUCUUGCCAAGCUGCCUUUGCAAAUUCAGUGUUGGCUUGAGGUAAGAUCAUGUCAGCAGAUCCCACGUCCACCCCACCCCCACCGAUUUAUUUUGCUUACAAGUCGUCUCUUAAAUAGGUAGUUUACUUCAGUAUGAAAGGAUUAACUGUGUCAGUACUGGUUAAAAUGGGGGGGGGAAUGUUGUGAAAUGGAGAGGAAUGAGACAUAUAAUUUCAGAUAUCUUUUGCUACUUAACAAUAAUGUAAAGUUGGGAAUUUUUCUUAACCUUUAUGAAUUUCAAUUUCUUUAUCUAUACAGAGGUAGAAUUCAACCUAUCCCAUGGAGUGGAAUAAUUAAUGCCAAGUAUCUACUACCAAGCCUGACACAGCUCUACAGAUGGUGGCUAUCAUUACUGCCUGUAAAAGUAAAGUAGGUGAUUUGGACAGCAGCCCUGAAAGACAGAAAUCUGAGUCUGUUAGGGCAGAAAGAUGCCAGGUGUGGGUGAAGGAGGAGGAAGCCAGGUCAACUUGCACUUGUAAAUUGUGCCAUGCUCUGGCUAGGCUGGACCCCGUGAAAGCUCUAACUCCUGUGUAUUAAAUGGAGGUUGGAGACACUCUGAUCUCUUUCUUGGUUCAAUGAAGCUUCACUUAGCUAAGUUGAGCUUCAUGGACCAAUAAUGGUUAAUGAAAGUAUUUUCUUUUAAAAGUUUUUAACUUUACUUCAGAUCUCUAGAGCUGGAGCAGUAAAAAGAGUUAACAAAUGAAGCUUGCUAAAUACAAACAAUUUUUCUGUAGUCCAUACAAAUGUACUUAGGAGAGGAUGUGAUGGAAAGAGAGCAAAUGUACUCUGCUGGUAAGAAAUUGUAGUUCUUCCCAAAUGCACUAUAAAUGAUCAUAUAAUGAUGCAUCAAUCAAGGCCCCAGUGAGGAAAACACAUUAU